rnacentral:snoRNA from 1 species
GCAUGGGAUUAAUGGUGGGUUCUUCCAUGUGGGCUCCUCAUAGUGGACCCAUGCCAAAAUAAACUACAGUCUUAAACCAUUGCCACAGGUAGGUCCCUGUGGCCUGUGAGUACUGAAGAAGGUUGUAAGGCU